AGUGAACGCUGGCGGUAGGCCUAACACAUGCCAGUCGAACGGCAGCACAGUAAGAGCUUGCUCUUACGGGUGGCGAGUGGCGGACGGGUGAGGAAUACAUCGGAAUCUACUUUUUCGGGGGGGAUAACGUAGGGAAACUUACGCUAAUACCGCAUACGACCUACGGGUGAAAGCAGGGGAUCUUCGGACCUUUCGCGAUUGAAUGAGCCGAUGUCGGAUUAGCUAGUUGGCGGGGUAAAGGCCCACCAAGGCGACGAUCCGUAGCUGGUCUGAGAGGAUGGUCGGCCACACUGGAACUGAGACACGGUCCAGACUCCUACGGGAGGCAGCAGUGGGGAAUAUUGGACAAUGGGCGCAAGCCUGAUCCAGCCAUACCGCGUGGGUGAAGAAGGCCUUCGGGUUGUAAAGCCCUUUUGUUGGGAAAGAAAAGCAGCAGGUUAAUACCCCGCUGUUCUGACGGUACCCAAAGAAUAAGCACCGGCUAACUUCGUG
rnacentral:rRNA from 1 species